ACUUCAGAGUCCAUUUGUUUCCAAAGGCAGAAACAAAGCUUUUCUGCUUGAACAAUCUAAGUGCAUGUCUAAUGGAAAUACGAGCGUAUCCUAGAUGAGCACGAUAGAGCAUACUGUGUGUAUAAAACUUUGUAUAUGUAUCAGGGAAGUCUCAAAUGCUUCACCAUGUCUCCAGCAAAGCACUGAUCAACCAGACAGAGGAAAUGUCUGUGUGGCUGCCGCUGAAGCUUUAUGUACGUCAUGGAAACCCUUUAUCUAUUAUAACCAUUCUAUUAUAUUAGGGGGUACAAGCCCUGUUAGCAAUAUUUACCACACAGACAUACCAUACAAACAUACUGAAGAAAAUGCAGGACUUCUGCAUAUGCAAAAGCAUAGACUGGAUAUUUAUGCAUUUGGGUUGAAUUUGUGUAAUAGGAAAUAAUGGAAAUAUUUCACAAGGUAAAAAGCAAAUCAUAUGAUAAACCUGUCAUGACUAUUUGACAGCUUCCCCAUUUCUAAAGUUUUGAACCUAUCUAUCUCCUUUCACACUCUGAGUAAAACUUGGAAAUAAUUCAACCUCUUACUGGGGAAAAUGACCCUAACCCAAGUUUCAACAUGGACAAGUCUUGUGCAGUGGCUUUUGUUGGUAUAAAAUGAGAUAGCUGUGAUUCAGCAAUGGGAGACAUGAGAUAAAUGGCUGAUACAGAGCUCAUAAAUCAGAUGCAAAUGUGUUCCCUUCUCUGUAGAGAAACUAUACUUAGUAAUUUGCAUAAUUUUACAUUUUGAUUUUUUUAAUACUCUCUGAACCAAUAGCUUUGAUUUCUGGAUCUAUUUUAUUACUGAUACCAAAGCUGAUACCAAAGGCUUAUAUAGUUUUGGGACUCAGCCUAUACCAACUGCUACAUUUUGCAUGAAAUGGUAAAUCUCACUUAUGUAGUUUCUACCACAUCACAAAUUCUGUUCCAAGUUUUUUGCCUGUUAUCAUUUUACUUUCAUGUUGGAAUGAAAUUGUGUUAGUGAGAAAAGACUUCCACAAAAACGUAGCUGUUCCAAACAACAUGCUAGCUCCUACUCAAAAGCAUGAUCUAACAAACCUUGAUGAACCUUGUCCAAAUGAAAUCACCUGGAAAAGAUUGCAGUCAGCUGUUGGACCUCAUCAAUAAGUCACCUGACAACAGAGUCUAGGAGUUUAUAAAGGGUUGCAGCCACCCUCAUUUAACACUAUUCUCAUUAGAAAAGAGGAAGAACAGUCUUCUGGCUUGAACAAGGAUACUUUUUUUUUUGGUCUACAAGAAGAGGUCAGAAAUCAGCUCACUGGAGGAGAUCCACCUGCUUGGAGAUGGCUCUCGGCAUGUCUGCCGCACAGGAAACACUGAAUGUCUCUCCCUGAGGUUUCUGUGAAGUGUCCUUAAAUUCCUCCCUUGCACUGAAACAGAUGGGGCUACAGCAUCGUCAGUGGGAGUAACCGCGUGCUUUAGAUCCAGGUCCGUCAGGAAAGGGACAAGCCGGAGAGCCCUGGCUGGGAACAAGCGAGAUUAGGGCAACGGACCGAGAGACCACCC